CCAUGUGCAUUUCGUAUAGCCCAAUACCUUCUGUGACAUCCAAUGACUACUCUUCCACCACACUGUGAAUGUGAAUGGUUUAGAGUUUAUUUAUUACUCAAAGUAUGUCUGAGGGGCUGGCAACUUGUGUUCUGCUUUAGCCAUGAGCCCACAUCCCGAUUGAAGCCUUCAAAUGUUAUGAGGUACACCGUCUGGCUCCAAAAUCCAACAAGC